UGUCCUACGGGGGGCAGCAGUGAGGAAUAUUGGUCAAUGGCCGAGAGGCUGAACCAGCCAAGUCGCGUGAGGGAAGACGGCCCUACGGGUUGUAAACCUCUUUUGUCGGGGAGCAAAGCGAGUCACGUGUGACUCAUUGAGAGUACCCGAAGAAAAAGCAUCGGCUAACUCCGUGCCAGCAGCCGCGGUAAUACGGAGGAUGCGAGCGUUAUCCGGAUUUAUUGGGUUUAAAGGGUGCGUAGGCGGGCUUUUAAGUCAGCGGUAAAAAUUCGGGGCUCAACCCCGUCCGGCCGUUGAAACUGGGG
rnacentral:rRNA from 1 species